AUAAUAAGUUGGAUCUCCAAUAGUAUACGUAAGCAUCUUGUUUUUUUCUUUCUAUCAGACACAUCUCUCUCUCAAUUUACAUCAGAAUAGGCUUCCAAUAUUUGAGAUUGUGACUUCUCAAUCUUGAUUCUUAAAUACAGAGUUAAGGAAAUGUAUCUGAAGAUUCUUUUCAAUGCUUUCCAGUGAACUGAGAUAAUUUAUUCGCUGAGAAUGUGAUAUUUGGUCUUCUAGUGGUUAAAUACAGCAACGUUUCAAUGAUAUGUCGAAAUUGAGUAGGUUGGUCAUUCAACUCUCUGUUUGGUUAUAUAAAUUUGCUCCUAGUUCUAUUGGUGUGGGAGUGGACUUCAAUUCAAAUUUGUGAGCUGUCUUUUCUAAUAUAUUCCUCGCAUAUUGAUGUUAAGAGAGAGAUAUCGAUCCAUCUGAAGCCAUGCUCACAUGAAUCCCAAGAAAAUGAUGUUGUAGCCGGGAUCUG
rnacentral:lncRNA from 1 species